GCGGCUCCCGCGACGGCGCGGCCGUCGCCGGGCCCGAAAGGCUCGGCGACCUGGUCGGGCGGUUCGAGGCCGGGGGCCGCCC
rnacentral:tRNA from 1 species